rnacentral:rRNA from 1 species
UACGGGGGGUGCAAGCGUUGCUCGGAAUUAUUGGGCGUAAAGGGUAGGUAGGUGGUCUCGUUUGUCUGGGGUGAAAGCCUUGAGCUUAACUCAAGAAGUGCCCUAGAAACGGCGAGACUAGAGUCUUGGAGAGGGUCGUGGAAUUCCCGGUGUAGCGGUGAAAUGCGUAGAGAUCGGGAGGAACACCAGUGGCGAAGGCGGCUACCUGGACCAGCACUGACACUGAGGCACGAAAGCGUGGGGAGCAAACAGG